AUUGAACGCUGGCGGCAUGCUUUACACAUGCAAGUCGGACGGCAGCACAGAGAGGCUUGCUUCUUCGGUGGCGAGUGGCGAACGGGUGAGUAAUAUAUCGGAACGUACCGAGUAAUGGGGGAUAACUAAUCGAAAGAUUAGCUAAUACCGCAUAUUCUCUGAGGAGGAAAGCAGGGGACCUUAGCGCCUUGCGUUAUUCGAGCGGCUGGUAUCUGAUGAGCUAGUUGGUGGGGUAAAGGCCUACCAAGGCGACGAUCAGUAGCGUGUCUGAGAGGAUGAGCCGCGACACCGGGACUGAGACACGGCCCAGAGUCCUACGGGAGGGAGCAGUGGGGAAUUUUGGAAAUGGGGAGCAAGCCUGAUCCAGCCAUACCGCGUGUGUGAAGAAGGCGUACGGGUUGUAAAGGACAUUUGGCAGGGAAGAAAAGGUUGUAGCUAAUAGCAAGAGCUGAUGACGGUACCUGAAGAAUAAGCACCGGCUAACUACGUG
rnacentral:rRNA from 1 species